rnacentral:rRNA from 1 species
ACAUACGGCCACAGCUGCGGAAGUGUACUCGAUCCCGUCCGAUCUCGACCAGUCAAAUUCGCAAGCGGCAGAUUAGUAGUUGGGUCGGUGACGACCAGCCAACACCGGCUGCUGUAUGUC